GAAUGCACGAAAUCGUUUGUUGAAAAAUACAAAAUUCCUGGAGUUAUUGGAUGUAUUGAUGGCACGCACUUUGGGCUGCAAAAACCAACAGUAAAUGAGCACAUGUUCUUCAACAGGAAAGGAUACCAUAGCCUCAACUCAAUGAUAAUAUGUGACCAUGAAUAC